rnacentral:rRNA from 1 species
AGAUGAGUUCUCCCUGAGACCUUGAGUCUCCUGAAGGAACGUUAAAGACUAUGACGUUGAUAGGUCGGGUGUGUAAGCGCAGCGAUGCGUUGAGCUAACCGAUACUAAUGAACCGUGAGGCUUAACCUUACAACGCCGAAGGUGUUU